rnacentral:rRNA from 1 species
AUUGAACGCUGGCGGCAGGCUUAACACAUGCAAGUCGAGCGAGCGGCGGACGGGUGAGUAAUGUCUGGGAAACUGCCUGAUGGAGGGGGUUAACUACUGGAAACGGUAGCUAAUACCGCCCUCCUUAAGAUGUGCCCAGAUGGGAUUAGCUAGUAGGUGGGGUAUUGGCUCACCUAGGCGACGAUCUCUAGCUGGUCUGAGAGGAUGACCAGCCACACUGGAACUGAGACACGGUCCAGACUCCUACGGGAGGCAGCAGUGGGGAAUAUUGCACAAUGGGCGAAAGCCUGAUGCAGCCAUGCCGCGUGUGUGAAGAAGGCCUUCGGGUUGUAAAGCACUUUAAGCGGGGAGGCGUUACUCGCAGAAGAAGCACCGGCUAACUACGUGCCAGCCGCCGCGGUAAUAC